rnacentral:rRNA from 1 species
AGCAUUCUCUGGUGUUGAAGGCCCUGCAAAGCAGCAUCGCGGUGGCGGAGCGUCGUUUGCGACGCCCAACACACAAAACAAGCGGUGAGUGCUUUGGGGUGGGGUGACUGCGUACCUUUUGUAUAAUGGGUCAGCGACUUAUAUUCUGUAGCAAGGUUAACCGAAUAGGGGAGCCGGAGGGAAACCGAGUCUUAAUUGGGCGUUAAGUUGCAGGGUAUAGACCCGAAACCCGGUGAUCUAGCCAUGGGCAGGUUGAAGGUUGGGUAACACUAACUGGAGGACCGAACCGACUAAUGUUGAAAAAUUAGCGGAUGACCUGUGGCUGGGGGUGAAAGGCCAAUCAAACCGGGAGAUAGCUGGUUCUCCCCGAAAGCUAUUUAGGUAGCGCCUCGUGAAUUCAUCUCCGGGGGUAGAGCACUGUUUCGGCUAGGGGGCCAUCCCGGCUUACCAACCCGAUGCAAACUGCGAAUACCGGAGAAUGUUAUCACGGGAGACACACGGCGGGUGCUAACGUCCGUCGUGAAGAGGGAAACAACCCAGACCGCCAGCUAAGGUCCCAAAGUCAUGGUUAAGUGGGAAACGAUGUGGGAAGGCCCAGACAGCCAGGAUGUUGGCUUAGAAGCAGCCAUCAUUUAAAGAAAGCGUAAUAGCUCACUGGUCGAGUCGGCCUGCGCGGAAGAUGUAACGGGGCUAAACCAUGCACCGAAGCUGCGGCAGCGAACGUAUCACUUAAAGCGAUUCAGCGGGUUACGAUUGACGGAGCGAAGCGACGUCAAAGCGUAUACAAAGUCGAGUCGGUUUAAGGAUACGUU